AAAGUGGCGCUUUUCAGCGCCACGAUAUUUCUUUUUAGCAGAAUAGU
rnacentral:ncRNA from 1 species